CCUACGGGAGGCAGCAGUGAGGAAUAUUGGUCAAUGGACGGAAGUCUGAACCAGCCAUGCCGCGUGCAGGAAGACGGCUCUAUGAGUUGUAAACUGCUUUUGUACAAGGGUAAACCUGAAUACGUGUAUUCAGCUGAAAGUACCGUACGAAUAAGGAUCGGCUAACUCCGUGCCAGCAGCCGCGGUAAUACGGAGGAUUCAAGCGUUAUCCGGAUUUAUUGGGUUAAAGGGUGCGUAGGGGGGUUGAUAAGUUAGGAGUUAAAAGUCCGGGCUUAAACCGGGAACUGCCGUUAAUACUGUUGUUCUAGAGAGGAGGUGCGGUAGGCGGAAUGUAUGGUGUAGCGGUGAAAUGCUUAGAGAUCAUACAGAACACCGAUUGCGAAGGCAGCUUACCAAUCUAUAUCUGACGUUGAGGCACGAAAGCGUGGGGAGCAAACAGGAUUAGAUACCCCUGUAGUC
rnacentral:rRNA from 1 species